rnacentral:rRNA from 1 species
CAAAUUAAGGUGAAACCGCGAAAGGCUCAUUAAAUCAGUUAUGGUUCCUUAGAUCGUACCCACAUUUACUUGGAUAACUGUGGUAAUUCUAGAGCUAAUACAUGCAAAUAGAGCUCCGACCGGAGACGGAAGGAGUGCUUUUAUUAGAUCAAAACCAAUCGGCGGCGGAUCGCGCAAGCGGUUCGUUCGUCGCUAACACUGGUGAAUCUGAAUAACUUUUGCUGAUCGCACGGUCUCGUACCGGCGACGCAUCUUUCAAAUGUCUGCCUUAUCAACUGUCGAUGGUAGGUUCUGCGCCUACCAUGGUUGUAACGGGUAACGGGGAAUCAGGGUUCGAUUCCGGAGAGGGAGCCUGAGAAACGGCUACCACAUCCAAGGAAGGCAGCAGGCGCGCAAAUUACCCACUCCCGGCACGGGGAGGUAGUGACGAAAAAUAACGGUACAGGACUCAUCCGAGGCCCUGUAAUCGGAAUGAGUACACUUUAAAUCCUUUAACGAGUAUCAAUUGGAGGGCCAGUCUGGUGCCAGCAGCCGCGGUAACUCCAGCUCCAAUAGCGUAUAUUAAAGUUGUUGCGGUUAAAAAGCUCGUAGUUGAAUCUGUGUUCCGCGCUGUCGGUUCUCCGCCCGCGGAGUUUAACUGGCACGCCGCGGAACGUCCUGCCGGUGGUCACGCUCGUUGCCGCUGUCGGCGUGCGCCGUUCGCGCGGCGUUGCGUCGCUCGGCCGCGGCUGACCGACUCACGAUCCUACCGCGGUGCUCUUCACUGAGUGUCGAGGUGGGCCGGCACGUUUACUUUGAACAAAUUAGAGUGCUCAAAGCAGGCCGACAACACGCCUGAAUAUUGUGUGCAUGGAAUAAUGGAACAGGACCUCGGUUCUAUUUUGUUGGUUUUCGGAAUCCCGAGGUAAUGAUUAAUAGGGACAGAUGGGGGCAUUCGUAUUGCGACGUUAGAGGUGAAAUUCUUGGAUCGUCGCAAGACGGACAGAAGCGAAAGCAUUUGCCAAAAAUGUUUUCAUUAAUCAAGAACGAAAGUCAGAGGUUCGAAGGCGAUCAGAUACCGCCCUAGUUCUGACCAUAAACGAUGCCAGCUAGCGAUCCGCUGACGUUCCUCCGAUGACUCGGCGGGCAGCUUCCGGGAAACCAAAGCUUUUGGGUUCCGGGGGAAGUAUGGUUGCAAAGCUGAAACUUAAAGGAAUUGACGGAAGGGCACCACCAGGAGUGGAGCCUGCGGCUUAAUUUGACUCAACACGGGAAACCUCACCAGGCCCAGACACCGUUAGGAUUGACAGAUUGAGAGCUCUUUCUUGAUUCGGUGGGUGGUGGUGCAUGGCCGUUCCUGGUUGGUGGAGCGAUUUGUCUGGUUAAUUCCGAUAACGAACGAGACUCUAGCCUGCUAAAUAGACGUUACUUUCCGGCAUCCUGAAGGCUCGCGCCGUCCGUCAGCCGGACCCGGCGUUCGUCGGCGGUUCGCCGUCCGUCGGCGUCGGUGUUCCGGUCGGUCGGUUGCGGUUUUUACUGCCGGCGUUCAAAUAUAUCUUCUUAGAGGGACAGGCGGCUCUCAGCCGCAUGAGAUUGAGCAAUAACAGGUCUGUGAUGCCCUUAGAUGUUCUGGGCCGCACGCGCGCUACACUGAAGGAAUCAGCGUGUCUUCCCUGGCCGAGCGGUCCGGGUAACCCGCUGAACCUCCUUCGUGCUAGGGAUUGGGGCUUGCAAUUGUUCCCCAUGAACGAGGAAUUCCCAGUAAGCGCGAGUCAUAAACUUGCGUUGAUUACGUCCCUGCCCUUUGUACACACCGCCCGUCGCUACUACCGAUUGAAUGAUUUAGUGAGGUCUUCGGACCGGUACGCGGUGGCGUUUCGCGCGUCGCCGAUGUC